rnacentral:snoRNA from 15 species
UUGCACUUUUUAACAAAAUUACCCGUGAGAUUAAUUGCGGUUGAACUUGUUUUUCGUGCUAGACUGAUGAUUCGCCCUUAUACAUAUUGGCUAACUUUCGGCUAAUCUUCACCGAAUUUAGUCAAGAAUUGGGUGGUACAAAU